rnacentral:rRNA from 1 species
UACGUAGGAUGCGAGCGUUAUCCGGAUUUAUUGGGUUUAAAGGGUGCGUAGGCGGAUCGUUAAGUCAGUGGUCAAAUUGAGGGGCUCAACCCCUUCCCGCCAUUGAAACUGGCGAUCUUGAGUGGAAGAGAAGUAUGCGGAAUGCGUGGUGUAGCGGUGAAAUGCAUAGAUAUCACGCAGAACCCCGAUUGCGAAGGCAGCAUGCCGGCUUCCUACUGACGCUGAGGCACGAAAGUGCGGGGAUCGAACAGG